rnacentral:lncRNA from 10 species
UGCAAGUGCUUUGCAAACUGCAAAGUGCUAUACAAAUGUGAAGCAUUAUUACACUCAUCUAUUUCUCUUCUUUGUGUUCCCAGGGUUUCCUAAUAAGAGCUCUUUUUGAAAGUCCUAGCCUGACUUUGGGUAACUAAAAGGAAAGGGUGUGUGCAGUGUGGUAAAUUGGGGGUUUUAUGUACCCUGAGUAUAGCAGAGGUCCUGGCAGGGAGAGCAGAGACUUGCUGGCAACAGGAAUUGGGGAGUGAAGAUGCUGAACGUCACACAGUGAUUAAUCCCUUCCGAUCUGGGAUGUUUUCCAGUUCCAGGGGCCAUCCUGGAGCUGCUCAAACCAUUCUAGAGAGACAGGAUGGCCUGAGCUGAGAAGGGUGGGAGCAAACCCAGGGUCCUCGUGGCUGAGAGUAAGUGCAGGCUGUCAUGGGAAAAGUUCUCAUCCCUGAGUCUGCAUUUGUAACUCAGUCACCCAGCCUGGCUCAGCACAAUGCAAACCAUUUCCAGCUGCUUUGUGUAAGGAAUAAGGACUGGCUUGAGAAGAAGGGAAGAGAUCUGCCCCUAAUAUCCCUGAUUAUCUCAGCAGCAUGGAUUCACCAGCCUGAUUUGCUGCUUCUUCCUGCAUCCAGCCUGCUCCUGGGUCUCCUUCCCCACCUCACAGCCAUGGCAACCAAAUGCACGGGCUUGUGAAGACCAGCAGCCCAACUUCAGCAAGGUCUCGCUGGCCUGGACAGAAGAGCCAAGAUGAAUUACCAUGUGCAUGGAGAGAAGCCAUGGCCCAAGGAUGGGAAUUGCAGAUCUGGAGGCUGAAGCCCCACAUUGGCAUCCUGGCUCUACUCCCACUGGUUCUGUCACCCUGGGCAAGGCACUUCUCCCAAGCUGCAGUUCUGCCAACUGAGAAGCAGAGACAAUGACACUUGUUCCGCUCACCUUGCAGGGUUGUUGUGAGAAGGAAAUAAAGUAUUUGGAAG